UGGGGAAUUUUGGACAAUGGGGGAAACCCUGAUCCAGCCAUCCCGCGUGUGCGAUGAAGGCCUUCGGGUUGUAAAGCACUUUUGGCAGGAAAGAAACGUCAUGGGUUAAUACCCCGUGAAACUGACGGUACCUGCAGAAUAAGCACCGGCUAACUACGUGCCAGCAGCCGCGGUAAUACGUAGGGUGCAAGCGUUAAUCGGAAUUACUGGGCGUAAAGCGUGCGCAGGCGGUUCGGAAAGAAAGAUGUGAAAUCCCAGAGCUCAACUUUGGAACUGCAUUUUUAACUACCGGAGUAGAGUGUGUCAGAGGGAGGUGGAAUUCCGCGUGUAGCAGUGAAAUGCGUAGAUAGGCGGAGGAACACCGGUGGCGAAGGCAGCCUCCUGGGAUAACACUGACGCUCAUGCACGAAAGCGUGGGGAGCAAACAGG
rnacentral:rRNA from 1 species